GACCGCGUAGCUCAGUUGGCAGAGCAUUUGGCUAGUAUUCCAAAGGUCGUAGGUUCGAUUCCCACCGUGGCCG
rnacentral:tRNA from 1 species